GUUAAGCGACUAAGCGUACACGGUGGAUGCCCUGGCAGUCAGAGGCGAUGAAGGACGUGCUAAUCUGCGAUAAGCGUCGGUAAGGUGAUAUGAACCGUUAUAACCGGCGAUUUCCGAAUGGGGAAACCCAGUGUGAUUCGUCACACUAUCAUUAACUGAAUCCAUAGGUUAAUGAGGCGAACCGGGGGAACUGAAACAUCUAAGUACCCCGAGGAAAAGAAAUCAACCGAGAUUCCCCCAGUAGCGGCGAGCGAACGGGGAGCAGCCCAGAGCCUGAAUCAGUGUGUGUGUUAGUGGAAGCGUCUGGAAAGGCGCGCGAUACAGGGUGACAGCCCCGUACACAAAAAUGCACAUGCUGUGAGCUCGAUGAGUAGGGCGGGACACGUGGUAUCCUGUCUGAAUAUGGGGGGACCAUCCUCCAAGGCUAAAUACUCCUGACUGACCGAUAGUGAACCAGUACCGUGAGGGAAAGGCGAAAAGAACCCCGGCGAGGGGAGUGAAAAAGAACCUGAAACCGUGUACGUACAAGCAGUGGGAGCACGCUUAGGCGUGUGACUGCGUACCUUUUGUAUAAUGGGUCAGCGACUUAUAUUCUGUAGCAAGGUUAACCGAAUAGGGGAGCCGAAGGGAAACCGAGUCUUAACUGGGCGUUAAGUUGCAGGGUAUAGACCCGAAACCCGGUGAUCUAGCCAUGGGCAGGUUGAAGGUUGGGUAACACUAACUGGAGGACCGAACCGACUAAUGUUGAAAAAUUAGCGGAUGACUUGUGGCUGGGGGUGAAAGGCCAAUCAAACCGGGAGAUAGCUGGUUCUCCCCGAAAGCUAUUUAGGUAGCGCCUCGUGAAUUCAUCUCCGGGGGUAGAGCACUGUUUCGGCAAGGGGGUCAUCCCGACUUACCAACCCGAUGCAAACUGCGAAUACCGGAGAAUGUUAUCACGGGAGACACACGGCGGGUGCUAACGUCCGUCGUGAAGAGGGAAACAACCCAGACCGCCAGCUAAGGUCCCAAAGUCAUGGUUAAGUGGGAAACGAUGUGGGAAGGCCCAGACAGCCAGGAUGUUGGCUUAGAAGCAGCCAUCAUUUAAAGAAAGCGUAAUAGCUCACUGGUCGAGUCGGCCUGCGCGGAAGAUGUAACGGGGCUAAACCAUGCACCGAAGCUGCGGCAGCGACGCUGAUGCGUUGUUGGGUAGGGGAGCGUUCUGUAAGCCUGUGA
rnacentral:rRNA from 1 species